GCCUGGGUGGCUCAGUCGGUUAAGCGUCUGACUUCAGCUCAGGUCAUGAUCUCGCGGUCUGUGAGUUCGAGCCCCGCAUUGGGCU
rnacentral:tRNA from 1 species